rnacentral:tRNA from 1 species
CAGAUGUAGUUCAAUGGUAGAAUUUCAGCUUCCCAAGCUGACUACGCGGGUUCGAUUCCCGUCAUCUG